ACACGUCAGCAAGUUGCAAAAACCUGGCUCUUUUCCUUUUCAAUCUUCUCCUUAAAAGGAUAAUGUUAUAAAUGUGUUGGCUCUGGCUGGACAACAACUUUAAAAAUCGCUAGAUACGCUCCACCGCUACUGUUACCAUCCAUGUUUACUUCCACAAACACUGAGCGCACUCUCUGGGUGUGACGUCGUCGUACCCUCUUCUGUGCAUGUGGGAUAGUAUGGGGCGUUAAGCCGUUCACACAGCAGGCCACAUACAGGUCGCAUUUAAUUGCAAUGUGAAAGACCUCACAAAAAAAAUCUGAUUUCACA